GCUCCACCGCCGGAGAGCGGGCGCCCUCAGGGGGGCCUCCGCUCGCGCCCUUUCCUCCUCUCCGUGCCCCUCCGUCGGGCGGGCCCUCCGGCUCACGAGGCUAAUCAGGCGUCCCGGCGGUUCGCGCUCCCGGAGCCUUCGGGAGAGGGGCGGGCGGGCCCGGGGGUCCUCUGGGGAGUCCCUUCUCCCUCCCUGCAGGCGGGACCCCGGUUUGAGCUCCGGCCGUAGCCGGGGAGCUGCCCCGCUCCGCCUGUCAGCAGAGGGAACUGCGCAUGCUCCCUGCUCCGGCCUCCGCGCCCUGCCGCUGCUGCUGAGCGGCCUCUGCCCGGCGGUUCGGCCGGGCCCGGCGGGCGCCGGCUUUGGGGCCUUGGCGCUUUCUGUCCCUCGCAGUGGCCUACAGCAGUCAGAUGAACACGUGUGUAACAAAGUAUAUCAUUUUCGUGUGAGGUCAUCUCCUCCUGUGGUUUCAUUGGCAUCAUUUUUUCAACACUGUGAGACGUCUUUCAGGGACAGUGUUAGCAAAAGGAGGAGCUUUAUUGUGUACUGAAGCUGCCUGGGCUUAUUGAAUGAUUUUGAAAGUGCAGGGUAAGAGUUUCUGAUGAAUUCAGUGAUCUUUUCUUGCUGAGAUCUCAGCCUUUUUUGACAGUGACCCUCAGAAGAGUGAGACCAACUGAAGUGCAAGAUUAUGUCCAGGAAUACCUGUGUUUCCUAGAUGAAGAAAGAAAAGGAGAAAAGGACUUCGUUUGUAAGUAAGGAUUGAAUCCUGAUUUCUUUGUUGAAGAUAAGAGGAUUUUCUAUGAGUUUUUGAUUUAACCCUAACUAUAGUUUUCUAAUAGGAAUGGCUCUGGUGACAAAGAGGUGUGAAUUCUGGAAAGACAUCUGUGUAACAGUGGCAGGCUGCACAGUCAUGAGCAGCUCCCCAUCGGCGCAAAGGGUGAACCCCUGGGGAGCACAGGCACCCCAAAAGGCCCCAGUGAAGUGCAGCACAUCCCCAGUGAAGGGCCCUGGAAGCAAGUACUUGGAAAGGUGCUUCUCCUUCCCACCGCUGGUCAAGGAAGGGAAGACAGGCAAUGGCCUGUGAACCAAGAGUCCUCAGUAUUU